rnacentral:lncRNA from 1 species
ACGGGUUCAUUUAUCUUUUUUAUAAAUAAUUAAUAAAUAAUUAAAUAUAUUUUUUAUAAAGUAAAUAAUAAUAUAUUUUAAUUAAUUAAAUAAGAAAAUUUUAGAUACAUUUUCACAUGCGAUCAAUUGUAUCAGAUAUGCAAAUUUUGAUUACAAACAAUAAUACUGAUCUUAACACCCAUUCGGAUUCAGAUAGUAAAUUUAUAAGUUUAUAUUUUAAUUAUAAUAAAACUUUAAAAUAUAUAAUUAUUUAUGCCUAAUUUUUAAAUAUUUUAGAUUAUAUGUAUUAAAUAUUAAUUUUAAUUUUAUAAUUAUUUAAAUAUAA